GAUGAACGCUGGCGGCGUGCCUAAUACAUGCAAGUCGAGCGAACAGACGAGGAGCUUGCUCCUUUGACGUUAGCGGCGGACGGGUGAGUAACACGUAGGUAACCUACCUAUAAGACUGGGAUAACUUCGGGAAACCGGAGCUAAUACCGGAUAAUAUUUCGAACCGCAUGGUUCUAUAGUGAAAGAUGGCUUUGCUAUCACUUAUAGAUGGACCUGCGCCGUAUUAGCUAGUUGGUAAGGUAACGGCUUACCAAGGCAACGAUACGUAGCCGACCUGAGAGGGUGAUCGGCCACACUGGAACUGAGACACGGUCCAGACUCCUACGGGAGGCAGCAGUAGGGAAUCUUCCGCAAUGGGCGAAAGCCUGACGGAGCAACGCCGCGUGAGUGAUGAAGGUCUUCGGAUCGUAAAACUCUGUUAUUAGGGAAGAACAAACGUGUAAGUAACUGUGCACGUCUUGACGGUACCUAAUCAGAAAGCCACGGCUAACUACGUG
rnacentral:rRNA from 1 species